rnacentral:lncRNA from 10 species
UCAGGAGAUGGGGGUUUUCAACCUAAGCAAGGUUAAGUCCAAGUGGUGGGGGCAGGCGGGGGGGCGAUAUUUCAGUGGAGACUCCAAGGAUGAAUGGAAAUUAGAAAAGUGAACGCAGAUGGUGAGGGGGGAGGGGUUUCAGGCACAGAGAACAGCAUGUGCAAAGGCCUAGCGGGGAGGACAUCGUGUGUUCUGGAUGUCCUCCCCGCUGAGGGGCGGGGACUGAGGGGCAGCCAGCAGGCUGGAGCUGAGCGGGUGGAGAGGAGGAUGGGGAGCCGGGCAAAGGCGCUCCACGCAGGGGGCACAGCAGGGGCAAAGGCCCGGAGUCAGGCCUGAGCCUGUGUGGUUUCAGGAAGUGACAGAGGCCUGUCUGGGAGGAAAGUAACAGCAGAGGGGAGACCAUAAGGUCAGGGCAGAGGGCAGGGCCGUGCUGGGCACUGUGGGCUGUGGAUAGGACCUGGCAUUUAUGCUCGGGUGAGGGGAACAUGUUAGAAGAUUUUAAGGAGGGCAGGAACAUCUGGGGAUAACGUGUAUUCUAGAAUCUCAACCAAGUAAAUUCUAGUUUGAAUGUUCACAAGACUUCUGCACAGGCAAAGUGAAAGAUCGUUUCUAGAGCUGUGAGAUAAAAUCAUAGUAAAAGAGAGUUACUAAGUUUUUAAAGGUUAUUUCAAAUGGUGGAUUUCCACCUUACAAUUGAAUAUAAGUAGAUUGUAAGGUUGAUGGAAAGUAGAAAAGUUUCCUGACUUGUGUGAAUAUAAAAGAAACAUCAGUUUGAAAGAAAACAUUUAUUUAUUUACUUCCUCUGCAGUUUUCCUGACUGCUACAUUUCAUGAGAAGGGAUUAUUCUUGAGGGUUCUGGAGCUGCAGCCCAGGGGAGGAGCCAGUGCUGCCACUGACACCUCAGGGUCGUGGAGGUGAAAAUCCCAGAGGAACAGGUGCUCCUGUUGCAGUUUGAGGUUCCUGGAGCUGGAGACGCAGGGAGAAGAUGGCGCUGCUGUUCUAAUUUAAGGAUCAUGAAGCCGGAGACGCAGAAAGGAGCUGGUGCUGCCACUGCUCACAUCUGAGGGUUUUAGAGCUGGAGCCUGGGGGUGGAGCUGCUGCUGCCUUUGAAGUCUGAGAGUCAUUGACCUGGAGGUCCAGGAAGGAGCUGGUGCUGCUGUUCUAGUUUGAGAGUCAUGGAGCUGCAGACCCAGGGAGGAGCAAUGUUGUCAUAGUUCAAGGGUCAGGAAGCUGAUGACACAGGAAGGAGAGAUCUUGAUCUGCUUUGAGGGUCGUGGAGCUGCAGACCCAGGGAGGAGCAAUGUUGUCAUAGUUCGAGGGUCCGGAAGCUGGCAACACAGGGAGGAGAGAUCUUGUUUUAGUUUGAGGGUUGUGGAGCUGCAGACCCAGGGAGGAGCAAUGUUUUUGUAGUUCCAGGGUCCGGAAGCUGGUGACCCAGGGAGGAGAGAUCUUGUUCUAGUCUGAGGGUCGUGGAGCUGCAGAUCCAGGGAGGAGCAAUGUUGUUAUUUGGGGACUGGAAGCUGCAGACCUAGGGAGGAGAGGUCUUGUUCUAGUUUGAGGGUCAUGGAGCUGCGGACCCAGGGAGGAGCAAUGUUGUUUUAGUUCGAAGGUUCGGAAGCUGGUGACUCAGGGAGGAGAGGUCUUGUUCUAGUCUGAGGGUCGUGGAGCUGCAGAUCCAGGGAGGAGCAAUGUUGUUAUUUGAGGGACUGGAAGCUGCAGACCUAGGGAGGAGAGAUCUUGUUUUAGUUUGAGGGUCGUGGAGCUGCGGACCCAGGGAGGAGCAAUGUUUUCAUAGUUCAAGGGUCCGGAAGCUGGCGACACAGUGAGGAGAGGUCUUGUUCUAGUUUAAGGGUCGUGGAGCUGCAGACCCAGGGAGGAGCAAUGUUGUUAUUUGAGGGACUGGAAGCUGAUGACACAGGGAGGAGAGAUCUUGUUUUAGUUUGAGGGUCAUGGAGCUGGAGACCCAGGGAGGAGCAAUGUUUUCGUAGUUCGAGGGUCCGGAAGCUGGUGACCCAGGGAGGAGAGAUCUUGUUGUAGUCUGAGAGUCAUGGAGCUGCAGAUCCAGGGAGGAGCAAUGUUGUUAUUUGAGGGACUGGAAGCUGCAGACCUAGAGAGGAGAGGUCUUGUUUUAGUUUGAGGGUCGUGGAGCUGCAGACCCAGGGAGGAGCAAUGUUGUUAUUUGAGGGACUGGAAGCUGAUGACACAGGGAGGAGAGAUCUUGUUUUAGUUUGAGGGUCGUGGAGCUGCAGACCCAGGGAGGAGAGAUCUUGUUUUAGUUUGAGGGUCGUGGAGCUGCAGACCUAGGGAGGAGCCAUGUUUCCAUAGUUCAAGGGUCAGGAAGCUGGCAACACAGGGAGGAGAGGUCUGGUUCUAGUUUGAGGGUUGUGGAGCUGCAGACCCAGGGAGGAGCAAGGUUGUUUUAGUUUGAGGCUCCGGAAACUGGCGACGCAGGGUGGAGAGGUCUUGUUCUAGUUUGAGGGUGCGCCCAGGGAGGAGCAAUGCUGUCAUAGUUCGAGGGUCAGGAAGCUGAUGACACAGGGAGGAGAGAUCUUGAUCUGGAUUGAGGGUCGUGGAGCUGCAGACCCAGGCAGGAGCAAUGUUUUUGUAGUUCGAGGGUCCAGAAGCUGGCGACACAGUGAGGAGAGGUCUUUUUCUAGUUUGAGGGUCGUGGAGCUGCAGACCCAGGGAGGAGCAAUGUUGUUUUAGUUCGAAGGUUCGGAAGCUGGUGACCCAGGGAGGACAGAUCGUGUUCUAGUCUGAGGGUCGUGGAGCUGCAGAUCCAGGGAGGAGCAAUGUUGUUAUUUGAGGGACUGGAAGCUGCAGACCUAGGGAGGAGAGGUCUUGUUCUAGUUUGAGGGUCAUGGAGCUCCCGACCCAGGGAGGAGCAAUAUUUUCAUAGUUCAAGGGUCCAGAAGCUGGCGACGCAGGGAGGAGAGGUCUCAUUCUAGUUUGAGGAUCAUGGAGCUGCUGACCCAGGGAGGAGUAAUGUUUCUGUUGUUCGAGGGUCAGGAAGCUGGCGACCCAGGGAGGAGAGAUCUUGAUCUGGUUUGAGGGUUGUGGAGCUGCUGACCCAGGGAGGAGCAAUGUUGUCAUAGUUCAAGGGUCAGGAAGCUGACGACACAGGGAGGAGAGAUCUUGAUCUGGUUUGAGGGUCGUGGAGCUGCGGACCCAGGGAGGAGCAAUGUUUUCAUAGUUCGAGGGUCCGGAAGCUCGCGACCCAGGGAGUAGAGGUCUUGUUCUAGUCUGAGGGUGGUGGAGCUGGAGAUCCUUGGACGAGCUGGUGCUGCAGUUUAAAUCUGUGGAUCCUGGAGCUGGAGCCCUAGGCAUUAGCUGGUAUUGCUGUUGUUCAUAUAUGAGGGUUAUGGGGCUUGAGGUACAGGGAGGAGACGCUGCUGCUGUUCAAAUCUGCGGGUCGUGUAGCUGGAGAGCGGGGAGGAGGUAGUCCUGGUGUCUAGUGUGAGGGUGGUGGAGCUGUAGACCUGGGGAGGAGCUGGUGCUGCUGUGUAGUUUGAGGGUCAUGGAACUGGAGACCUAGGGAGGAACCAGUACUACCGCCAUUGAAGUCAGAGGGUUGUGGAUCUCGAGUUUUCGGGGACAGCCCGUGCUGCUAUGUAACUGUGGGGAGGAUCCAGUGUGUCAGGUGAUGUCUGAGGGUUUGGGAGCUGGAGACCCAGGGAGGAGCCGGUGCUCCUCUUCUAGUUUGAGGGUAGUGGAGCUGGAAAUCCUGGGAAGAGCCAGUGCUGCCAUUUAAAUCUGUGGGUCCUGGAGCUGGAACCCUUGUGGGAAGCCGGUUCUGCCAUUCAUGUCUUAGGGUCGUGGAGCUGGAAACCCAGGGAGGCAGCGGUGCUGCUGUUCUAGUUUAAGGAUCAUGAAGCUGGAGAUCUGGACAGGAGCUGGUGCUACCAUUAUUCAAAUCUGAGGGUUGUGGAGCUGGAGCCUUGGUGAGUUGCCGGUGCUGCCUCAUCUGAGAGUUGCUGAGCUGGAGAUCCAGACAGGAACCUGUGUUGCUGUUGUAGUUUGACGGUCAUGGAGCUGGAGACUCAGGGAGGAGGGGUGCGGUUCUAGUCUGAGGGUUGUGGAGCUGGAGACCCAGGGAGGAGCUGGUGCUGCUGCUGUUUAAGGCUGAAGGUUGUGGAGCUGGAGACCAGGGAGGGAGCUGCUGUUGCUGUUGAUCAAGUCAGAGGGUCAUGGGGCUUGAGGUACAGGGAGGAGCUGGUGCUGCUGUUGCAGGUUUAGGGUCAUGGAGCUGGAAAUCUAGGGAGGAGCUGCUGCUGCUGUUCAAGUUUGAGGGUCGUGUAGCUGGAGAGCGGGAAGGAGGUAGUCUUGAUGUCUAGUGUGAGGGUGGUGGAGCUAUAGACCUGGGGAGGAGCCGGUGCUGCUGUGUAGUUUGAGGGUCAUGGAACUGGAGACCUUGGGAGGAGCCAGUGCUACUGAGGGUCGUGUAUCUGGAGCUUUGGGGAACAGCCCGUGCUGCUGUUUAACUGUGGGGAGGAUCUGCUGUGUUAGUUGAAGUUUGAGGGUUUGGGAGCUGGAGACCCAGGGAGGAGCUGAUGAUGCCAUUCUAUUUUGAGGGUCAUGGAUCUGGAGACCUGGGGAGAGGCCGGUACUGCUGUUGUAGUUUGAGGUUCGUGGAACUGGAGACAGGGGGAGGAGCCGGUGCUGCUGUUCAUGUCUGAGGGUUGUAGAGCUGGAGACCCAGGGAGAAGCCCGUACUACGGCUUUUUAAGUCUGAGGGUCGUGGAGCCUGAGACCUGGGGAGGGGCCAGUGCUGCUGUUCAAAUGGCUCAUUCCGGGGUCUCCAGCUCCAUGACCUUCAAACUAGGACAGCAGCAGCAGCUCCUCCCGGGGUCUUCCAGCUCCAUGACCCUCACACUAGAACAGCAGCAGCAGCUCCUCCCGGGGUCUUCCAGCUCCAUGACCCUCACACUAGAACAGCAGCACCGGCUCCACCCUGGGUCUCCAGAUCCAUGACCCUCAAACUAGAACAGCAGCACUGACUCCUCCCCGGGUCUCCAGCUCUACAACCCUCAGACUUGAGGAGUUGGAGACUCGGGGAGGAGCCAGGGCUGCUUUUCUACUUUGAGGGUUGUGGAGCUGGAGACCCAAGAUGCAGCAGCUGCUGCUAUUCUAGUUCGAGGGUCUUGGAGCCAGAACCUUUUUGAGGAGCUGGUGCUGCCUUUCAAGUCUGAGAGUCAUUGAGCUGGAGUUCCAGGGAGGAACCGGUGUUGCUAUUCUAGUCUGAGUGUAGUGAAGCUGGAGACCCAAGGAGGAGCCGGUGCUGCUGUGUAGUUUGAGGGUCGUGGAACUGGAGACUUAGGGAGGAGUUGGUGCUAUCGCCCUUUAAGUCAGAGGGUCGUGGAUCUGGAGCUUUGGGGAACAGCCCGUGCUGCUGUUUAACUGUGGGGAGGGUCCGGUGUGUCAAUUGAAGUUUGAGAGUUUGGGAGCUGGAGACCCAGGGAGGAGCCGGUGAUGCCAUUCUAUUUUGAGGGUCGUGGAUCUGGAGACCUGGGGAGAGGCCGGUACUGCUGUUGUAGUUUGAGGUUCGUGGAACUGGAGACAGGGGGAGGGGGCGGUGCUGCUGCUGUUCAUGUCUGAGGGUUGUAGAGAUGGAGACCCAGGGAGAAGCCCGUACUACGGCUUUUUAAGUCUGAGGGUCGUGGAGCCUGAGACCCGGGGAGGGGCCAGUGCUGCUGUUCAAAUGGUUCCUCCCCGGGUCUCCAGCUCCAUGACCUUCAAACUAGGACAGCAGCACCAGCUUGGAGCCAGAAACUUUCUGAGGAGCCAGUGCUGCCUUUCAAGUCUGAGACUUGUAAGAGCUGGAGACCCAGGGAGGAACAAGUGUUGCUGUUCUAGUCUGAGGGUAGAGAAGCUGGAGACCCAAGGAGGAGCCUGUGCUGCUGUUCAUGUCUGAGGAUUGUGGAGCUGGAGAACCAGAGGGGAGCUGGUGCUGCUGAUCGUGUUUGAAGGCUGUGGAGCUGGAGAUCCCAGGAAGAGCCGGUGCUGCCGUUUAUAUCUAUGAAGAAAUUCUGGCUGGGGGAGAUCAGAGGAAAACAACAAUUGAAUUUCUCAGACAUUCCCAUGACUUGGUUCCGAGUACGGGCUGGGAAACCUGCCAGGGGCUAUGAAAUGCAUCACGUUUGCCC